GCUCUCUUUUCCCUCUCUUUCUCUCUUGCGAUUUGGAAGAGCUGAAGGUCUCUCUCUUUCCCCUCUCUUUCUCUCUUGCGAUUUCGAAGGUCUGAAGCUCUCUGUGAUUUCGAACCGGCAAUUUUCCGACCUCCGUUGGUGUGGAGAAAUACGUGAUGUUAUAUUCUCUGACAACGGCUCAUCCUUGUUGUGUAUCGUCUCACUGUAAGGGGAUCUGACGGAGAGGCAUUCCGGGAGUCAUCUGGUACAAUAUCGUCUAGUGAUAGCCAUAUUGUGGAUCCCGUUGCUGCAGCAGAGGAGAUAGCUUUCUGCAGAGCAUGUGCUCGGUUUGGCCUCGGCCUGUACUUGUAUCAUGAAGAAUAGAUUCUAAUGAUGAGAAAAUAGUUUAUGGUGAUAUUAAACAUGAUAAUUUGCUGGGUACUCGUCACGGUACGGGGAAGAUAGGAGACUUCAGUGUUAGUCAAGUUUUUGAGCUUUUCAAUUGUGGUAGUAUCUUUCGCAGAAAUUGCUUGAACGCUAGCUUGGAAUUGGUAAGCUACUCAAACUUUAUUUCUUUAUAUUUUAUAAAUCCUAGAAGAGUUUGAAUAUCCUAGAUAUUCAUCCAUAGUGAAGUAAGUUCUGGAAUUGCAUGACUGCGGUCGGAUGGGUGGUAAUAUUUGUACUGUUAAUUAUAGUUUUGUUUGUUUGUAUUAUUGUGGAUGUUUUAAUAGAUUAGUUGCAUGUUUAAAAUUUUCGGGAACGUCCGAAUUAUAGAUGUUAUGCUGUCGAAAUUUCGGUAGAAAUUUCAGUAGGAUUAGUAUUUUAUUAAAUUAAUUAGGUUAAGUUGAUAUAGAAUUAUUUUAUUGUAUUAAUUAGGUUAAUUAAAUUGUUGUUUUGUUGUUUUGUUAGAAGUUUCGAAAUGGAUAGAGAUUGGAUGAGUGCGAAUAGGUUAACGGUAAAAUAUAGGGAAAGUGUUGACUUCUUUUUGGAGUUUUCUGUAAAGAAUGCGGAUAAUCCUGAUUUGGUUCAUUGCCCAUGUCUCAAAUGUGGUAACAUGGAGCGUAUGAAAAUUGCCCAAAUAAGAGAACAUUUGUUUAAGAACGGUAUAGACAGGAGUUAUAAGGUUUGGUAUCACCACGGAGAAAAAAUUAGAAGAUCGGGCGAUUAAUGUUUUUUGAUCUUCUAUUUUACAGUUCAAGUUAGACGCUCCCUAUAGUAACGAGGAGAUCAAUGCCGUACGGGAUGAGUUCGCCGAAUUUGUGAAGCCAUUGAUUAUAGAUUAAGUACUUAAGGUUACUACACUUUUGAUAUAAUACAUGAGUAACAAGUUUUAUGAUUAUUGUUAUCUUUUGCAUAUAUUAUUAGUUUAUAUUUAGUUUACGAUA